ensembl:lncRNA
UUGUUGGUAUCAGAUGGGCUGGUUUGUGUUUUUCAGAAAGUGCUGAUCUCCUGGGACUUUCACAUACAGCAGUCUCUAGAGUGUACACAGAAUGGUGUGAAAAACAAAAAACAUCCUGCGAGCGGAGGGUCUUCAACCUGAAACAGCUUGUUGAUGAGAGAUAUCAGAUCAGAGGAGAAUGAUCAGACUGGUCUGAUCUGACAGGAAGUCUAUAGUAACUCAAAUAAUCACUCUUUACAACCACGGUGAGCAGAAAAGCAUCUCAGCAUGAACAACACAUCAAACCUCGAGGAGGAUGAGCUACAACAGCAGAAGAGCACAUCGGGUUCCUCUCCUGUCGGCCAAGAACAGGAAUCUGAGGCCAUCAUGGGCACAGACUCACACACCCCAGGCAGCUGAAGAUUAGAAAUAGACCAGAUGACUGUGUAAACUGUGUUAGUUACACAGGAUCAUCUGGUCUUUCUCCAAUCUUCAGUAUUUCAGUGUUAUUUGCAGCAGUAGUAAUUAAAAUAUGACCGGAAUUAUAGUCAUAUUUGUGAACACUCACCAAAACUUCCUAGAAGAAACUGUGUGUGUGUGUAUGCUCCACACUGAUAAAGAUGUAUUAAUACACACACUCGUGCUCGGUCUCAAAGUGACGCUCACUCGACUGUUAAACAUGGAAAUUUGUCUCUAAAUGUGUUCUGGAUAAUUAAAAGCACUUGGACUUUAUUCCGCUGGAACACUUCCUGUAUGAGCGUCGUCAUGGAGACAUGUGAUCACACAUUCAAAACUUCUCCCUAAACCCUUCUCCAUACACACACCCAUCAUAAAUACUGUUGAGUCUAGGGGGCGCAAACUUUUGCUCUGAACUGCAGACAGACAGUGUGUGUGUUCUCGCAGUGAAAGGGCAGGUGUUGAGCCUCAUGACUGUGCAUACUGUGAUUGCUGUGUGUGUGUGUGUGUGUGUGUGUGUGUGUGUGUGUGUGUGUGUGUGUGUGUGGUGCGUAGAGGCAUCCAGCUGCAGUCAGGUAUGAAAAGCGGAUAUCAAUUUACCUUAACGAGCCGAAUGAUUCCAUCAUUUCCAGCUAUUCACACACACACACACACUCUCUCUCUCACACUCUCUCUCUCUCUCUCUCUCUCACACACACACACACACUCACUCUCUCUCUCACACACACACUCUCUCUCUC